rnacentral:rRNA from 1 species
GAUGAACGCUGACAGAAUGCUUAACACAUGCAAGUCAGCUUGAACUUCGGUUUGGGUGGCGGACGGGUGAGUAACGCGUAGAACUUGCCUCACAGAUAGGGACAACAUUUGGAAACGAAUGCUAAUACCUGAUAUUAUGAUUAUAUGGCAUCGUAUAAUUAUGAAAGCUAUAUGCGCUGUGAGAGAGCUUUGCGUCCCAUUAGCUAGUUGGAGAGGUAACGGCUCACCAAGGCGAUGAUGGGUAGCCGGCCUGAGAGGGUGAUCGGCCACAAGGGGACUGAGACACGGCCCUUACUCCUACGGGAGGCAGCAGUGGGGAAUAUUGGACAAUGGACCAAGAGUCUGAUCCAGCAAUUCUGUGUGCACGAUGAAGUUUUUCGGAAUGUAAAGUGCUUUCAGUUGGGAAGAAAAAAAUGACGGUACCAACAGAAGAAGUGACGGCUAAAUACGUG